GCUGCGGUAAUUUGACUGUACUAAGGUAGCACAAUCAUUUGCCCUUUAAUUGUGGGCUGGUAUGAAUGGGUAAACGAGGGUAAAGCUGUCUCUUGUAUAUGACUAAAAGUUAAACUUUAAGUGAAUAUGCUUAAAUAGGGGUAAAAGACAAGAAGACCCCAAGAGCUUUAAUAAAAUCUCAGAUAAGGCUAUAUUUGAGUGUUAUUUUGGUUGGGGCGACAGAGGACUAAACUAUAGCGUCUUUUUUAGUGAAGAAUUUGAUUCUUUGUUGAUCCGUUGUGCGAUUAGAAGAAGUAGCUACCUUGGGGAUAACAGGCUAAUUUAUUCGGAGAGUCCCUAUUGAUGAAUUAAGUUUGGCACCUCGA
rnacentral:rRNA from 1 species